CGGCCGGGCGGAGGGAAAUGAAGCGGACACAUGGUCCGCCCCAUCCCUCCGCCCUGGAGGGGCCGAAGAUGAAGGGAGCUGAGGGGGCCCUCUCGGCCCACGCAGAACCAUAGAACACUUCACUGGAUGCUGUUCCUUGCCCUUGGACUUGCUGCCAACAAAAGAAAGAGCCAUCUAGAUACCACAUAGCAGUAUCAGCAGAAGGUUCAGACAGUGGUUCUAUUCACGCUGGUGGGCUAUGCCUUUAUAUCUGUCACAGAUACAUGGUUUGGAACAAAAGGGAAGAUGGAAGAAGAAGAAUGGCUGCUAUCCAUUUCUAAAGUCAGGUUCAUGGAGGCAAGGCAUAGUAAGGGAUGUUUUCUGAGGCACUUUUUCCCCCUACUGGCGUGACUGAAAGCAGUAACACUGAUUUCAACAGUGUUCAACAAUGCUCAACAGAGGACCAUCUUCUCAUGACCAUAUGCCUGAAAGGAACCACCCUUCCAGCACAAAUGAGAGAGAAGAUAAUCUAAGGCUUUCGCAAGUUGAUCCGCCUCCUACAAACCAAGAGAAUAGGUUAAUUCCAGACUUUGGACUCACGGCUUCCUGACUCAUAAAUUGAUUUUUAGAACAAACAUACAAUUGCUGUAUCAUGAGGUGAAAUUGCUACAUAAGUCAUGAUAGUGGAAGCAUGGCAUAAUGGCUAAUUCUGAGUAACUGUGACAUAGGAAACUAUUGGUUCAGAGCUCACCUCUGGUGUCAGCUCAUGGGUGUGUGGCCUUAGGCAAGGCACUAUGCUUCAGUCUUCCAGUUGCAAUGGGCAGAUAAUAAUACUGACCAACUUUACAGGAUUAUUGUAAAGAUUUUGAAUAAUGUAUGCAUAGAGUUUUGAAAAGACAUUAGUAAUGUAUUUGUAGCCUCUUCCAAAAGCAAAUGAGGUCUCCCACUGAAACCCAUUUGAACAUGGCUUUGAUGGCUUCAUUUGGUAAAUUUUGGCAAGUGUAUUUAGAAUAUAUAUUCAAUAUAAGCAGUUUAAUUUAAGACCAAUAUACUUUAAAGCUGAAAUAGAAUACUUGAGACUUAUAAAAUAAGAAAUGGAAGUAAGGUAACAAAUUGCUGCAUAUAACUAUUUGGCUGGGAAUGCAGGGAAGGGUGAUGUG